rnacentral:lncRNA from 1 species
CAAAACUCUGGUAAAGCUAACUCUCAAAACUCCUUAUCAUUACUAUCAAUUUUCUUAAAAAAUAAUAAACAAGAGAACAUAUAUAUGAUAUGCUUCAAAUUUUUUUCCGAUAAUUAGAUGCAAGUGAAAUCGUGAAUGAAGCUGUUGGAAACUGUGCCUUGGCUUGUUCUAAAGUCUGCAACAAAGGUUCGAUGAAUGCAGUGGAAACUGCCUAAACAACCUUAUUCACAAAGAUCCGAAGUACAUCAUCUAUGGAGUGUUGUUUUUCAUGUUUUUCAUGAUUUCAUCAAUAAUUGUCGUGUAUGUGGCAAAAAUAUAGAAGGUUAUCGAUCCCUAGAUUGUAUAUGCCUUCUAUUCCCUAUAUUUUCAAUAAUAUGUAAUUGUGUCGUUAUAUUUUUCGUUCAACCAUUAAAGUUGCUUUGUGCUUAGCUAUAUUACAUAGUAUCAACCAUUUUAGCAAACUAUUUGAUUAAUAUUCACAUAAAAAUUCAAUCUAAAAGACGAGACUUAAGUCACCACCUUCAUAUGCCAUAAAUGAUGCAUGAAACAUACCAUAAGUCACGAUAAUUGUUUUCUUAAUCUCACAACAGUAAUAUCAUGGAAACUAAAAUCAAAGGUUUCUCAAAAGAUUGAAGCCUAGAUUGUAAGUCGCAACUAAUUUCCAAGACAAUGCUUCAUUAAACAUGGAAUUCAUAAUAGUCGAGUUGCAGGAAAUAUGGCGAUACAUGCAGAGAAGUUUUAAAAAGAGAUACCGAUUUAUAUAUAAGAAAAUAGAUCAAGAUUACAAUAGUUGAAGCUAGUUAGAGCAGAGAAUACAUGAGAGACAGAUUUCAAAAACCUAAUGUUGAAGCCAAUCAAAGUUGUUGAAAAACAUUUCUGCAAAACACAUUUAUUAUGUACAACAAUGUAACUGCUUCAUUUUGCUAUUAAAAAACUCACUGAACAAUCCGAAAUUAGCUUGUCAUACGAUGGGAAGCUCCAGUAUCCGAGAAUAUACUUUUCUUUUAUAAACUAAAAUAAAAAAGAUAGGUAUAAUUUUCUUGCAUAAUAUAGUUAUCGAACAUGUUUACAUGUAAAAAUUGUCAAGUGGUUUUGAGUUUAAAGCAUUUUUUGUAAACUCAUCAUCUCAAUCAUUUCAUAUUAUUGGUAACUUUCUUUUUCAAAUUAUUAACUCUCAUAUAAUUUUUGUUAACUUUCUUUUUCAAUCAUCUCAAAGUUUAUAGAGAGAGAAUACUUAUAAUACAAACUCUAAUAUAAACCAAAUUAGUAUAAUUAAGAACGUACAUAAUAAUAACACGGUUAGUAAGAACAUAAAGAAUAUAACCAGCAAAACUCAUACGAAAUAUAUAAUAGUGAAUCAAAAGAAUGAAAAAAGAAUAAAAAACAAGAUUUCAGAGCAUUAAGAUUGAAAAAAAAGAAAAGAUAGGGUUGGUCCAACGCAGCAUCGACAGACAUUUAUUUGGCAUUUAUUUGGUCCUUGAUGUAUAUAUUAUUUGGUCCCGACUAUAGAGAGCAUGUGAUAAAUUAGGCAUUUAUUUGGUCCCGACGUAUAUAUAUUAUUUUUUAAAAAAUUAAUGUAAAUUAUAUUCAAAAGAAACUUUUUUUAAACCUCGUGCAUGUUUGUUUGAAAUCUAAAACUGAGAAAGAAAUUUAGAAACCAAAGCUUAAUUUGUAGAGUAAAACCAAAACUACAAGAAAACAUACAUUUAGCAACUGUAGAAUUAGACAUUAAAUAGUCGCUUAAUUGUGUUUUACGACUACUUUAUGUAGUCGAAAAUACUUAGUCGCUAAUAGGAAUAGUCGCUAUAUAGUCGAUAUACGCCCAUACGCACAAGAAAAGAAUAAGUAAUCGUGAGAUUCCAGAGUAUUAUCACAGAGAACUCACCUUCCCGAACCACCAUUGUUCCAUUGCAUCAUACGGUCACCUGUAGCGAGCCCUAGAAGUGAUUUGGUUAUAACUGAUAACUAGAAACACAAAACACGUUCUAACAAACUCUUUGGAUUUUUGCCAUCAUCUAGACAUAACUAGAAGAGAUGUAGUUAUAACUGAUAACUAGAAACUCUUAUCAACCACAAUAAAGAAACACAAAACACGUUGUAACAAACUACAUGUUCUUGCGCUUCUCGAUUCUUACACAAGUUACGUUCUUAUCAUUCCCUCCUCAAUCUACACAUGCACUUUUUCAUUCAUAUAUAUAUUUAAAAUUAUUUACACGAGGAAUGAUACAAAUCUGUAGACAGAAUACUUAUAAUAUAUACGUAUAUAGUUAUAAACCAACUUAGUCUAAGAACGUACAAUAUAUAACCAGGAAAACUCAUACGAAAUUAAUAGUGAAUCCUUAUUAAGCAACACAAAUUAAAGCUUUAACCAAUUUAUAUUUUAAUGGUUAAUCAGAAGAAAAAAAGGAAUAAACAUAUCAAACGAUAAGAUUAGGUUAGUCCACGCAGCAUGGGCAGACAGUCUAUAGAGAGCAAGUGAUAUCAAAUGAAGUUUGUGGUUACCAAACUUAGACCAACUAGUAUAUAAGGGAGCCUUGUUCCAUCACCGAUUCAUCAAUUCAAACUUAUAACUCUCUACAUAUACAUAUUGCAAUCAAACAACCGAUCAAUCCAAAGAUGGAAGGCAAAACAUUGAUUCUAAGUGUUCUCGUUAUGAGCCUCUUCAUGGCACAAAUCCAAGUUGACGCCAAGAGCUGCUGUCCUACCAGCACUGCUAGAAAUAUCUAUAAUAGUUGCCGCGUUGUGGGAGGUUCCAGGCCAACAUGUGCAGGCCUCAGUGGCUGCAAAAUCGUUGAUGGGUCAUGUCCUAAUGGAUAUCCUAAUGAGAAUCUUGAAAACACAAGUAAAUAAAACAUAUUGUGCUUUACUAUGUACGUUAUUUGUCUUAAAGGGAAAAAUCAAGAUUUAAUAAGAAGAAACAGUUAAGACCUAAACAAGCAUUGAUCCAUCUGACUGAGGAAAAAGAAAAGAACCUUGUUGAGUGCAGAGACCGAUGAGGGAGUAACUGGUGAUGACACUGAGACACAAAUCCUUCCUUUUGUGCCAUGAAUUAGGGCUUUCUUCAGGGAAGCUUCGAACCGAGACACACAGAGAGACCCUGAUCAACUAAACCACAAAUAAAACACAUUUAGUUAUAUAUAUAUAUAUAACUGGAGAAAAAAUUAUUUUAAUUAAACCAAAAAUAAAACACAAUUGAUCAUCUUUAUUUAUCUCUCACUUUAAUUUUAAACUGAAAAAUUUAUAUUCAAUUAAAACACAAUUAAUUAGAUCUCUACAUUUAACCCACACUUUAAUAUAAGAACUGAAAUUACAUAAAUUUGCAUUAACUAUAUUUCUCUACUCAAUUUUAUUCAACACAAAAUUAAUAAGAAUUAACUCCCACAAUUGUUGAUUCACUAUCACAUAACAAAAACAUCUAUUUUACUGAAUUUGCAUACAUUUUAUUUAAUUUACUUCCAUCAUUAAAGUGAAAAAAAGAACAGAGUAUUUUAUAAGGUUUCACUAUCUUCUUAUUGGUCUAUUUUCUAUAAAAUGUUUUUUAAAUGAUGUUUUCAACUAAACCAAAAAUAAAACACAUUUAGUUAUAUAUAUUAAACUCACACUUUAAUAUAAAACUAAAGAAAAAAUUAUUUUAAUUUAGCCACAAAUAAAACAAAUGUGAUCAUAUAUAUUUAUCUCACACUUUAAUUUAAAACCAAACGAUAUAUAUUAAUUAAAACCCAAUUAAUUAUAUACAUUUAACUCACACUUUAAUAUAAAAACUGAAAUAAUAUAAACUUGCAUUAACUAUAUUUUUCUACUCAAUUUUAGUCAACACGCAAUAAAUUAGAAUUAACUCCCACAAUUUUUUUCUUCUAAAUUAUAACUCAUCACUUCUCAUCUUAUAAAGGGUUAGUUAAACGCAGUUAAAAGUAAGUACACAAAUAAACCAAAAACAAAAAGGAAGGUAUUGAUAAGUUAAAAUUUAGUUUUUUCAAUGAGAGGGAGGAAAAAUUACUUGGCUAUCCCUAUACUAAUUUAACAAAAACAAAAAUUUUGCAAGGCUGUGAAAGUAUCUUAUUUUCUGGGCAAAUCUCUGACAAGAGGCGCCAACUUGGGGAAAAGUGAUUUAUAUCAACAAAAUGAUGAUGCGCUAUAUAGAUUGCUAUCAGAUAACUAAGUUGCAUAUAUAGAUUGUUAUCGGAUAACUAUGAUGUUAUCAAAUAUAAAUUGUUAGAUAAAAUUGCAUAUAUAGAUUGUUAUCGGAUAACUAAGUUGUUAUCAAAUAUAUAUAUGCUGAUUAAUAAUAUAUAAAGCGAUAAGUCCUAUGUUACGUCGGUAACCCUAUCGUAGUUAAAUUUGUAAAGUCUCUGAUUUAAAUGUUAUCGGAUAACGUGGACGUUAUGGUGGCAAGAUUGCAUGUCCUCGCUGAAUAAACCAAACAUAGUAGUUAAACUUGGUUCAUAUUUUUAGGAGGAUAGGGUUAAAAUUGUCUACAUAAAAAGAAAGCAAAAUAAUGAUUUAUGGAUGUUAGAUUCUUAAUUAAAUGGUCAACUAGGUCUAUGAGUUAUAAUUUCCCUCUUAUAAAUACUCAUUUUCUCAUUCUCUCAUUCCCUCCUCCUCUUCCACUUUCUCUCAAAUCUUCUAUAAUUUUGUUUGUUUUGUUUUGUGUUUUUUUUUGUUGGUUAUCUGUUGUUUGUGGUUGUAUGAGUUGAAAAAUAAAAUUUAAAUACCAUUGUAAAAGUUUAAUCUAAAUUUUAAUUUUAGACACUAUAUGAUAUAUAUUUACAUUGUUGUAUUGAUUUUUUAAGAUUUAUCUCUAUUGUCUAUUAUCUUAUAAUUAAUCUCUCUCACUCUCUCUCUCUCUCUCUCUCUCUCUCUCUCUCUCUCUCUCUCUCUCUCUCUCUCUCUCUCUCUCUCUCUCUCACUACAUUCAUGUAUCUUAAAUAUUUUUCUAUUUUGUGUUAUUAUAUGGAUUGAAAAUCAAUGAAAGUAUCAUUUAAAUAAUUUGAUCUUAAUUUAUUUUAGAAAGUAUGAUAUAUAUCAAACUUAGUUUCAACUUUUAUUUCUAAUGCCUUAUUAUACAUACUUUUUCAAUUUUUAUUUCUAAUGCCUUAUUAUACAUACUUUUCAUACUUAUGAGUAUAAAUGAAGAAAGUAUGAUAUACCACAUAUGUAAAAUAAAAGUUUUGAUUGCUAUAUAAAUAAAAGGUUCAAUUUAAACCUUUAAAAAUAACUUCUUCUAUUUUUUAAAAAAUCUCAAAUAUUUUUUUUGUAAUUCAAUUCAAUAUAUGUAUAAUUAUUUACUUUGUGAUCCAAUAGAUUAUUAUAUAAAAAUUGUUAUAAUAUGUAAUUUAUUUAAAAUUUGAGGUCUAAGUGUUUAAAAGAAACAAAAAGUACUUGAUUUUACAAAUUUGGUCUUUAAAGUUUUAUUUUUUAAAAGUCAUACCGUUCAUAAAAGUUAAAUUUAGUUUAAUUCAUUCAUCAAUUGAGUAGACAGUGAAUUAAUGAGCUUCUAAAAUCCUAUUAAAUUAUGAGAUUUAAUAAGGUAUGAGUUCUACAAUAAUAUCAUAUACACUCUACACUCUUAGUAACUUAACCAUUUGUUCUAAAUAAUAGUCUUUCUUUUCAUAACAAUAUAAAUAUCUACCCCAAGUUAGAAUUUCCUAGAGAGACCGAACAUAAAUUCGAUUUCUUAAGAGCAAUUCAUGAUUGUUGUCAUGUACAUAUAAUUGAUAUAUAACUUCGUUCAUCUUCUUUGUUAAUGUUGAGGUAAACAUGUGAUGCCUUUUUAAUAUAAAUUCAUUUCUUUAGCUUUUAUAGUAAUGUAAAUCUUUAUGUUUGUUCUUAAAUGUUUUCAAUAUUAGUUUUAUUUUUGAACAAAUUCUACAUAAAAAAUUCUUACUAUAUAAAAAAGGAUCUCAUCUACGUAUAUGUGAACAAAUUUGUAUUACUUUGUUUUGAUCUCAUUCGGUUUCAUAUUUUUUAAAUAUAUAUUUUAUUUACUUUUACUGUUUAUAAUGUACACAUAUAUGUUUUAUAUUAACAAUUACUUAUAAACUAUAUAUAUCUUAAUGUAGUUUUCAAUUUAUAUUGCAAAUUAAUAUUUCAUAUACAACCGACGCAUUGCGUGGGUAACUUUCUGAUGAGUUAAUAUAUUUGUGAAUUCGUUUUAAUUACUGAGCCUAAUUGUGUGUUCUGUCGAAGAGUGAGCUAUUUUUUUUCCCUGUGAAGCUUAAUUAGUUUCUUAUGAUCAUAUAAAGCAAUGCGUACAUAAUCACUUUAGUUGUUUUUAUAAUGCUACAUAGACAACAAUUUAUGAGGUUAAAAAUCCAAAAUUUUGAUAAAUUAUUUCAUUUAAUUUACGUUAUAUUUUUUUAUUUUUAAUUGGCACUAGAUAAAGUGUAUUCUUGACUGAAUUUUUAAGUAUUGUUUCUACGUACUCCAUUUUAAGCAUUUGUUUGCCAUGCGUGAAAUAGAUUCAAUCAAAGUUGUGUUUAAAAAAAAAAAAAGAGAUAUCGAUUUAUAUAUAAGAAAACAGAUCAAGAUUACAAUAGUUGAAGCUAGUUAGAGCAGAGAAUACAUGAGAGACAGAUUUCAAAAACCUAAUGUUGAAGCCAAUCAAAGUUGUUGAAAAACAUUUCUGCAAAACACAUUUAUUAUGUACGAAAAUACAACAAUGUAACUGUUUCAUUUUGCUAUUAAAAAACUCACUGAACAAUCCGAAAUUAGCUUGUCAUACGAUGGGAAGCUCCAGUAUCCGAGAAUAUACUUUUCUUUUAUAAACUAAAAUAAAAAAGAUAGGUAUAAUUUUCUUGCAUAAUAUAGUUAUCGAACAUGUUUACAUGUAAAAAUUGUCAAGUGGUUUUGAGUUUAAAGCAUUUUUUGUAAACUCAUCAUCUCAAUCAUCUCAUGUUAUUGGUAACUUUCUUUUUCAAAUUAUUAACUCUCAUAUAAUUUUUGUUAACUUUCUUUUUCAAUCAUCUCAAAGUUUAUAGAGAGAGAAUACUUAUAAUACAAACUCUAAUAUAAACAAAAUUAGUAUAAUUAAGAACGUACAUAAUAAUAACACGGUUAGUAAGAUCAUACAGAAUAUAACCAGCAAAACUCACACGAAAUAUAUAAUAGUGAAUCAAAAGAAUGACAAAAAGAAUAAAAAAAGAUAGGGUUGGACAGACAUUUAUUUGGCAUUUAUUUGGUCCUUGAUGUAUAUAUAUUAUAUGGUCCCGACUAUAGAGAGCAUGUGAUAAAUUUGGCAUUUAUUUUGUCCCGACUAUAUAUUCUAUUUUUUUUUUAAAUAAUAUAAAUUAGAUUCAAAAGAAUUUUUUUUUUACAACUCGUGCAGGUUUGUUUGAAAUCUAAAACUAGGAAGGAAAUUUAGAAAAGAAAGCUUAAUCUGUAGAGUAAAACCAAAACUACAAGAAAACAUGCAUUUAGCGAUUGUAGAAUUAGUCGCUAAAUAAUCCAACAUAAUUGUGUUUUACGACUAUUUACGACUAUGUAAAUAGUUAGUCGCUAAUAGGAAUAGUCGCCAUAUUAUAGUCGUUAUACGCCCAUACGCACAAAAAAAGAAUAAGUAAUCGCGAGAUUCCAGAGCAUUAUCACAGAGAACGCACCUUCCCCAACCACCAUUGUUCCAUUGCAUCAUACGGUCACCUGUAGCGAGCUAACCACGUCCAAAGGCAAACUUUGGUGUGGCGUGGCGGAAACACAGUCCCUUAGACCAAAACACCUCAGCUAUAUAUUACAUUCAAAUCUCCAAUACAAAACAAAAUGUUGAUUAAAACAAAAAGAAUCACAAAAGACGUUCUAUCAAAUUAUAAUUGGAUUUUUUCCAUCAUCUCGACAUAACUAGAAGAGAUUUAGUUAUAACUAAUAACUAGAAACUCCUACCAACCACAAUAAAGAUUUCAACUAUCCUUUAAGAUAAGGUUGGUUUACACAGCAUGGACAGACAGUCUAUAGAGAGUAAGUGAUAUCAAACGAAGUUUGUGGUUACCAAACUUAAACCAACUAGUAUUUAAGGGAGCCUUGUUCCAUUACCAAUUCAUCAAUUCAAACUUAUAACUCUCUACAUAUACAUACUGCAAUCAAACAACCGAUCAAUCAAAAGAUGGAAGGCAAAACUUUGAUUGUAAGUGUUCUCGUUAUGAGCCUCUUCAUGGCACAAAUCCAAGUUGACGCUAAGAGCUGCUGUCCUACCAGCACUGCUAGAAAUAUCUAUAAUACUUGCCGCGUUGUGGGAGGUUCCAGGCCAUCAUGUGCAGGCCUCAGUGGCUGCAAAAUCGUUGAUGGGUCAUGUCCUAACGGAUACACUAACGAGAAUCUUGAAAACACAGGUAAAAAAUACAAUAUUAUGCUUUAUUAUGUACGUUGUGUGUCUAGCUUAUUGUCUUAAAAGAUAAAUCAAGAUUUAAUUGUUUCUUUUGUGUUUUGUCUCAAGGUGAUGUUGUUAGUGGAUACUGCAAGGUUGGAUGUGUAUCCUCUGUGUGCGGUGGUUUAACCACUCUCCAAAACUCUGGUAAAGCUAACUCUCAAAACUCCUUAUCAUUACUAUCAUUUGUUUUUAAAAUAAUAAACAAGAGAACAUAUAUAUGAUAUACAUUUUCAAAUUUUGUUUCGAUAACUAGAUGCAAGUGAAAUCGUGAAUGAAGCUGCUGGAAACUGUGCCUUGGCGUGUUCUAAAGUCUGCAACAAAGGUUCGAUGAAUGCAGUUGGAACUGCCUAGACAACCUUAUUCACAAAGAUACGAAGUACAUCAUCUAUGGAGUGUUGUUUUUCAUGUUUUUCAUGUUUUCAUCAAUAAUUGUCGUGUAUGUGAGAAAAAUGUAGAAGGUUAUCGAUCCCUAGAUUGCAUAUGCCUUCUAUUCCCUAUGUUUUCAAUAAUAUGUAAUUGUGUCGUGAUAUUUUACGUUCAACCAUUGAAGUUACUUUGUGCCUAGCUAUAUUACAUAGUAUCAACCAUUUUACCAAACUAUUUGAUUAAUAUUCACAUAAAAAUUCAAUCUAAAAGACGAGACUGAAAAAAACAUGUUAAAUUCAACGAAUUUAAUUAUGUGUUAUAUGAGUUUUUGCAGGCUAUUUAAGUAAAAAUAUAUAAAAAAAGAUGCAUUGUUUAUAUUUUUUUAAACAUAUCUCUGAUAAAUGAUACAAUAUUCACUAAAAAUAUCUGAUUGAAUCAAUAAACAACAGAUGAUGGUUUUGGUUGGUCAUAUAGCUUACGGUUUUGUGUGUAUCAGAUUUAUCCCUACUAUAGUAAAAGAGAAGUACACAAGGGAUUCGGGUCGGUUUUUUUAAAGAAUUCCGAGUUAAAUUUUCAAUCGGAUAGUUGCCAUUAUUAAACUAAGUAAAAAGACAGCUUAUUUUAAGGAAUUAUGGUAAAAAUUACCUAAAAUAGAUCUCAAUCUUUAGAAAAAUAUUUAAAUAUGUAAAUUAUACCACAAUCUUGUGAUUUUAUUGUUAAUCGAUUCAAAAUUUUAUUAAAUAUCAUAACUAUAAAAUCUUAAUAGUUACGAUUUAGUUAUUUAAAUAUAGAAUAUGAAUUUUUGAAAUAUGUAAAAUUUUAAAUAGAAAAUGCAUGAUUCAAAUAAUAAAAUUACAUAUUCGUUAAAAAUAGGUGGUGUAUAAAAAAUCUAAGAGUGAACAUUUAUUUACCUAAAUAUAUGAAGAUUUAAAAAAAAUAUAUAUAACCAAAAAAGAGAUUGCUAUAUAAAAAGUAAAAAAAAACGUAUUUACUAUUUAAAAAUUAAGUGUAUAUAUAGCAAAAUCUAACACCAUUUUAUAUAUGACAAAAAAAACUCUGCUUUACCGAAUAUAUAACACCAUUUUAAUAUAGUUUCUAAAUUAUUUUCGAAUUUAUAAGAAAAAACAUUAAUACAUAAAUGUAACUAUAGAUCCUAAUUAUUAAAAAAAUCCAAAUACUAAUUAAUCAAUUUUUAUUCAACUCUAGGUUAUUUUAAUACACUUUGCCAAAAAUUUGACACCAAAUAUACAUUUUGAAAUAAUAUAUGUUGAUUAUAAAAUAAACAAAAUAAGAACAAAUACUAUAUAACACGUUAAAUAAAAACCCAAAAUCCUUCACCCUGUAGCGCGGGUCCGAUAACAAAAUUCUGAUACACAAAAUAACAAAACCGAUACUUUUCCUCCGCGAUGUAGCGCGGUUCCGGACCUAGUUGUUUUGUAUUAAAUGAGAUAAUAUAUUUGUGAAUUCGUUUUAAUUACUGAGCCUAAUUGUGUGUUUUGUCGAAGAGUUAACUAUAUGUUUUUCCCUGUGAAGCUUAAUUAGUUUCUUAUGAUCAUAUAAAGCAAUGCGUACAUAAUCGCUUUAGUUGUUUUUAUAAAUGCUACAUAGACAACAAUUUAUGAGGCUAAAAAUACAAGUUUAUGAUAUAUUAUUUCAUUUAAUUUACAUUAUAUUUUUUUUAUUUUUAAUUGGCACUAUAUAAAGUGUGUUCUUGACUAUAUUUUCCUCUAUCAUUGUAUUCAUAACAGUCAUUUUAAGUGCUUUUCAUUCUCUUCCUUUGGAAAUUGUUGACUAGGGUCGUUAGAUAGACUUUAUAAUGCCUAUUGAUUAUUUCGUUGGCUUUGAAAGAACUUGAUAAUUGACUGAUUAGUAAAGGGCUUUGAAAGCAUAACCAAAGUCUUUGUAUGAGUCACUUUUGAUAUUAAUAAAUGAUAAACCAAAAAGAGACAAUCUUAAUUGCCCAAAAUAACUUGUGUCAUGCUAGAGAAGAGGACUCUCAUUAUCUCUUGUUCGGAUACAUAAGUGAGAUCUCCCGCCUUGUCGAUAGAUCCCCUGUUUUGAUUCCGCCUCUACAUUACUUAGACAACCAUAUCCAUGACGAUACGAUCUAUGUACAUCAUCUUGGUCUGUUGUUUUUCAGGAUUUAAAUCACUGUCAUGUAUGUGACAAAAAAUGUAGAAGGUUAUCGAUCCUUAGAUUUUAUAUGCCUUCUAUUCCCUAUAAUAUUCUAAUUAGUAAUUGUGUCGUGCUAUAUGCUUUCACUCAACGACCAUUCUAGUCGCUCUGAUCUGCUUUACUAAAUUAUACAAAAUAUUAUCCAACUCUUAAACUCAAUUAUUUUAGAAGAAAUUUGCCACAAUAGUACGUUUUUAAAAAUAAGUAAUAUAUGGGUAUAUAUAUGUCAGUGAAACAAACUUACAACAAAGGUUAAUAAGUUUUUGCAAACAUUAAAACAGUGUGAGAACCUAGUUUGCAAGUCAUUGAAGUGCACUUAUUUUUUCGGUCAAGGGUUUUGAGAUAAUUAAGUGUGUUUAUAUUGGAAUAGUCUUACGAUGGAUAGCUUUCAGGGCAAGGGUCUUUAUGUAAAUUUAAGCAUUUGUUUUUUACGUAAAUUUCAUCAUUUACUGAGUUGAGUGGUUAAGUAUUGUUUCUACGUACUCCAACUUAAGCAUUUGUUUGCCUAGAUUGUAAGUCGCAACUAAUUUUCAAGACAAUGCUUCAUUAAACAUGGAAUUCAUAAUAGUCGAGUUGCAGGAAAUAUGGCGAUACAUGCAGAGAAGAUUAAAAAAAAAUUACAUCCGUAAAGUAUAGACACUGUCACAGUCUUUCCAGGCUCAAAUCAAAGUUGUAUUUUUUUUUUAAAAAGAGAUACCGAUUUAUAUAUAAGAAAACAGAUCAAUAUUACAAUAGUUGAAGGUAGUAAGAACAGAGAAUUCAUGAGAGACAGAUUUCAAAAACCUAAUGUUGAAGCCAAUCAAAGUUGUUGAAAAACAUUUCUGCAAAAUACAUUUGUUAUGUACGAAAAUACAACAAUGAAACUGUUUCAUUUUGCUUAUUACAAAACCCACUGAACAAUCCGAAUUUGGCGUGUUAUUACGAUGGGAAGCUCCAGCAGUAUCCGAGAAAAUACUUUUCUUGUAUAAACUAAACUAAUAUAGUCAUCGAACACGUUUACAUGUAAAAAUUGUCAAGUGGUUUUGAUUAUAAAGCUUUUUUUUUUGUAAACUCAUCAUCUCAAUCAUCUCAUGUUAUUGGUAACUUUUUUUUUUUCAAAUGAUUUAGCAUUUAUUUGGUCCCAACGUGUUAUUCAAAAAAGGAUAGGGUUGGUCCAUGGACAGACAGACUAUAGAGAGCGUGUGAUAAAUUAAGCAUUUAUUUGUAUAUAUAUUAUUCAUUUUUUUUAAAUAAUGUUAAAUUCUAUUCAAAAGAAAUUUUUUACAACUCGUGCAGCGUUUGUUUGAAAUCUAAAACUGAUAAGGCAAUUUGGAAAACAAAGCUUAGUUUGUAUAGUAAAACCAAAACUGAAGCCCGUUGUCGUAGCGCCGGUCUCCAACGAGGCAAAUAGUCGAAUAUAUGUUUCUCAUUUGCAUAUCUAUCCAAGUUAUAAGCAGGGAAGUUGAGUUCGGAUUCUCGCGUGUCUCCUUCCAUUUUGCUCCUUCUAAAUAGUCUAAAUAGCCAUUUGUAGAGAAAUUAGACUUGAAGAUGUUCUUAGCUACUGCUGCCCAAAAUUCACCCCCGUACGCACAAGUAAUCCCGAGAUUCCAGAGCAUUAUCACAGAGAACGCACCUUCCCGAACCACCAUUGUUCCAUUGCAUCAUACGGUCACCUGUAGCGAGCUAACCACGUACAAAGGAAAACUUUGGUGUGGCGUGGCGGAAACACAGUCCCUUAGACCAAAACACCUCAGCUAUAUAUUACAUUCAAAUCUCCAAUACAAAACAAAAAGUUGAUUAAAACAAAAAGAAUCACAAAAGACGUUCUAACAAACUACAAUUGGAUUUUUGCCAUCAUCUAGACAUAACUAGAAGAGAUUUAGUUAUAACUAAUAACUAGAAACUCCUACCAACCACAAUAAAGAUUUCAACUAUCCAUUAAGAUAAGGUUGGUUCACAGUCUAUAGAGAGCAUGUGAUAUCAAACGAAGUUUGUGGUUACCAAACUUAGACGAACUAGUAUAUAAGGGAGCCUUGUUCCAUCACCAAUUCAUCAAUUCAAACUUAUAACUCUCUAAAUAUACAUAUUGCAAUCAAACAACCGAUCAAUCCAAAGAUGGAAGGCAAAACUUUGAUUCUAAGUGUGCUCGUUAUGAGCCUCUUCAUGGCACAAAUCCAAGUUGACGCCAAGGUCUGCUGUCCUACCACCACUGCUCGAAAUGUCUAUAAUUAUUGGGAUAUUAUUUAUCAUAGUAAAUCAUAUCCCACAAUUAUCGUACAUAGACUUAUUUGUUACCUAUUCUGCAAUGUAAAUUAUCUGCAUAUCUUUACUCUUUAGACUAGGUCAUCAAGUCCUUGUAAUAUAUAAGUAUGUAAUGGCCUCUCAAUGAAAUACGCAGAACACAUUCAUUCUCUGUCUGUUUAUGGUAUCAGAGCGGGUCGAAACAGUUUUUUUGAUUUUCUCUUAGUUUCUCUCUGCAACUCGAUCAUGGCUGCAACCAACGAACCAAACACGAACACGAACCCGAUGACCGGCGAGGUGAGACGCAAAAUCUCUCCCUACGACUUGAGUGCUGCGGACAAUCCGGGCGCUGUGAUAUCACUACCUUUGUUGAAAGGACCGAAUUAUGAAGAAUGGGCUUGUGGAUUGAAGACAGCUCUUUGCUCACGAAAGAAGUUUGGAUUUCUCGAUGGCUCCAUUGCUCGUCCUGCUGAUGGAUCUCCUGAUCUGGAAGAUUGGCUAACCAUUCAAGCCUUGCUCGUAUCAUGGAUUCGCAUGACAAUUGAUCCUUUGCUGCGGUCCAACGUUUCUCAUCGUGAUGUGGCUAAGGACUUGUGGGAUCACUUGAAGAAACGAUUUUCGGUGACUAAUGGACCACGGAUUCAGCAAUUGAAGGCAGAGCUCGCCUGUUGCAAGCAAAGAGGUCUCGCCAUUGACGCGUAUUACGGAAAAUUGAAUCGCAUUUGGGAUAACAUGGCGCAUCACAGACCUUUGCGUGUUUGUAAAUGCGGUAAGUGUGAGUGUAAUCUCACUGUGCUUCAAGAACAAGAUCGUGAGGAGGAUAAGGUUCAUGAUUUUUUGGCUGGUCUUGAUGAUGCAUUCAAGACAGUUCGAUCCAGCCUCGUGUCUCGUCUACCCAUUCCGUCCAUGGAGGAGGUGUAUAAUGUUGUUCGUCAAGAGGAGGAUUUGAAGACAAAUGUCAAACAAAGUGAAGAAGUUGCUGAAGUCACAGCAUAUGCGGUACAACAACGACAUCGCACCAACCCCUCUGCUCGUUCUGAUGACGCUCAACCAGUGUGCAAGCACUGCAGUCGAACUGGUCACUCCUCCGAUAGCUGCUUUGCGGUUGUCGGGUAUCCGGAGUGGUGGGGUGAUCGUCCAAGGAGCAGAACGGUUCAAGGUCGUGGACGUGGACAAUCUGCUGGACGUGGUCGUGCCUAUGCAAACGUAGUUCAUGUUCCUAAUGUGACGCCUCAGGAACAUGCAAAUUAUGUGAUCACGGACAAAGAUCGUGAUGGAGUGACUGGUUUAAAUGAGCUUGAGUGGCAGAACCUGAAGAAGCUUUUAAAUGGUGGUGCAAGCACAAGUCAUGAAAAGCUUUCUGGUAAGUGUUUUUCUCCUUCUUGGAUAUUAGAUACAGGAGCUUCACAUCAUCUAACAAGUAAUUACAAAACUCUUACCAAUGUAAGAGAAAUGGAACCUGUAUUGGUGAUUUUAGCGGAUGGUCGUGAACGCAUAUCAUGUCAAGAGGGGACUGUUGUAUUGGGUAGCAAUCUGGUCUUGAAAUCAGUGUUUUUUGUGGAAGAGUUGCAAAGUGAUCUUAUUUCAGUGGGGCAGUUAUUGGAUGAGAAUAAUUGUAUUGUACAAUUAGCUGAUCAGUUCCUUGUGAUUCAGGACCGCGCUUCGCGGACGAUGAUUGGAGCUGGUAAACGAGACAAUGGAACCUACCGUUUUUGCAGAAUGGAGUCGGUAGCGUUAGUCACAACAAAGGAGAUGAAGGCUUAUGAGUUGUGGCAUAAUAGGCUUGGACAUCCAUCUGCGAGAGUAGUUGGUUCACUUCCGCAAGUGUCUGUUUCUGUUGAUUCUGAUUCUUUCAAUAAAGCGUGUGAUGUAUGUUUCCGCGCUAAGAAAACAAGAUCGUGUUUUCCUACUAGUGAUAAUAAAACAACAUCCGUUUUUGAGCUUAUACAUUGCGAUCUUUGGGGUCCGUAUCGAACUCCGUCUUCUUCUGGUGCUCGUUAUUUUCUAACGGUCGUUGAUGAUUUCUCCCGUAGUGUAUGGAUUACUCUUCAACAUGACAAAACUGAGACAUCAUCUAAUCUAAAAAAUCUGAUUGCAAUGGCUGAGAGACAAUUUUCGAAGAAAGUUAAACGCAUCAGAAGUGAUAAUGGGACUGAGUUCACAUGUUUGGGAGCAUUCUUUCGCAGUCAGGGAAUUAUUCAUGAGACAUCUUGUGUAGCAACACCACAACAGAACGCCCGUGUUGAGAGAAAGCAUCGACAUAUUCUCAACGUAGCUCGCGCUUUACGGUUUCAGUCGCAUUUGCCUAUAACCUUCUGGGGAGAAUGUAUUCUCACAGCUGGAUAUUUGAUCAACCGUACUCCGAAUUCAGUGCUUAAUGGGGUCACGCCAUAUGAGAAGUUACAUGGUACUGCUCCAAGUUUUGAUCAUUUAAAGGUGUUUGGGAGUCUUUGUUAUGCGUACAAUCAAACGCAUAAUGGAGAUAAAUUUGAGUCUCGGAGUCGUAAGUGCAUUUUUGUGGGAUAUCCAUACGGGAAGAAGGCAUGGCGACUCUAUGAUCUUGAUACAAAUGUUUUUUUUUGUAUCCAGGGAUGUUCGAUUUUGUGAAACAGAGUUUCCUUAUGAUGAUGCUGCAAUUGAUCGUGGUUCAGUCGAUCCCAACAGAGAAGAAGGAGAGGCAUUAUGGGCUCCUUUCUCCUCUAGCCCAGCUGAAGAUGUUGAUAUACGGCCUUUAUCAUCUCCUACUUCUUCUCUCGGCCCAACACAGAUAGAAAGCCCAUUAACAUCGUCCUCCUCUGCUCUCAAUCCAGUGCUCGACGAUCCUCUUCCGUCUCCCUCACCUUCGAUUACUCCACCUACAUCACCGGUUUCUGCUCCGGUGGUCUCACCUGUCACCUCUCCAUCUUCGUCAGAUGCUGAGGACGAGAACGACCAACUACCAGAGGCGGUUCCUCUUCGCCGUGGUAAUCGACCUCGACAGCCACCAAUCAAAUUCCGUGACUAUCAAACUAAUACAGCUCAGAUAAGGAUGUUGGGUACGUCAAAAUCUUUGUAUCCAAUUCAAAAUUAUGUGAGUUGUGCACGUUUUUCAUCCACUCAUCGUGCCUAUUUGGUGGCCAUUACGGAUGUCUUUGAGCCAAAGACAUAUAAUCAAGCAGUUAAGAGCAAAGUUUGGACAACUGCUAUGGAUUCUGAGGUUCGUGCUUUGGAGGAAAAUCAGACAUGGACGCUUGAGGAUCUCCCUCCUGGCAAGAAAGCAAUAGGAUCGAAAUGGGUUUACAAAGUAAAACACAAUGCAGAUGGGACUGUUGAACGCUACAAAGCGCGUUUGGUAGCUCUUGGUAAUAAACAAAUCGAAGGAGUUGAUUAUGGAGACACGUUUGCACCGGUAGCUCGGAUGCAAACUGUGCGUAUGUUUCUUGAAGUUGCUGCGGGUAACGCUUGGCCAGUCCAUCAGAUGGAUGUCCACAAUGCGUUCCUACACGGGGAUCUCUCUGAGGAGGUCUACAUGAAGCCUCCCCCAGGUUAUUUUACUAAUGGUGAAAAGCUGGUUUGUCGACUUCGGAAGUCUCUCUAUGGUCUUAAACAAGCACCUCGUUGUUGGUUUGAAAAGUUGACAACUGCUCUUCGUGACUAUGGCUUUCUUCAGUCUCUUUCGGAUUACUCCCUCUUUGUUUUUGACAAAGGAGGGAUACGGAUUAACAUAUUGAUCUAUGUUGACGAUAUGAUUUUGUCUAGUAACUCGACUGAGGCGCUUUCUGGUUUCAAAAGCUAUUUGGCGUCGUGUUUUAAAAUGAAAGAUUUAGGCGCUCUUAAGUAUUUUUUGGGCAUCGAAGUCUCGAGAAGUUCACAAGGUUUCUAUUUAAGUCAGCGGAAAUAUGCUCUUGAAAUAGUUGCUGAUGCUGGAUUGCUAGGUUGCAAACCAGACGCCUUUCCUCUAGAACAGCACAACAAGCUUGCGUUGUCUACUUCUUCUCUCUUACCCGAACCGGAGCAGUAUCGUCGUCUGCUAGGUCGUCUCCUAUACUUAGCUGCUACACGGCCGGAUCUCACUUUCAGUGUUCAGUUUCUCGCUCAAUUUAUGAAAGAACCACGCGAGGAUCACUGGGAAGCUGCGCUUCGUGUUGUUCGCUACAUAAAGGGAAAUCCAGGCCAAGGUAUUUUGUUGAGCGCUAAGAGAGAUUUUCAGAUUACAGGCUGGUGUGACUCUGAUUAUUCGACUUGUCCCCUUACAAGAAGGUCAGUUUCUGGUUAUUUUGUUCAAGUGGGCACAUCACCAAUAUCAUGGAAGACGAAGAAACAGAAAACGGUUAGUAUGUCCUCUGCUGAAGCUGAAUAUCGUGCUAUGGCUUUUAUCACAAAGGAACUCAUUUGGCUAAAGAGAGUUCUGUCUGAUCUUGGUGAAACUCACUCUCAACCAAUGCGUCUCUAUUGUGAUAGCAAGUCUGCAAUUCACAUUGCCACGAACCCGGUCUUUCAUGAACGUACGAAGCAUAUCGAGAAUGACUGUCACUUUGUACGUGAUGAGAUCAAAUCUGGUAAUCUUCAUCUACUUCAUGUUCAAAGCAACUCUCAACUAGCGGAUAUUUUCACAAAGCCACUUGGUCGUCAUAGCUUUGAAGAUUUUUGCUCCAAACUGGGCAUUUUGAAUCUCCAUGCUCCAGUUUGAGGGGGGGUAUUGGGAUAUUAUUUAUCAUAGUAAAUCAUAUCCCACAAUUAUCGUACAUAGACUUAUUUGUUACCUAUUCUGCAAUGUAAAUUAUCUGCAUAUCUUUACUCUUUAGACUAGGUCAUCAAGUCCUUGUAAUAUAUAAGUAUGUAAUGGCCUCUCAAUGAAAUACGCAGAACACAUUCAUUCUCUGUCUGUUUAAUAAUACUUGCCGCCUUCCCGGAGCACCCAUGUCAGUAUGUGCUGGCCUCAGUGGCUGCAAAAUCGUUGAUGGGUCAUGUCCUAACGGAUAUCCUAACGAGAAUCUUGAAAACACAGGUAAAAAAAAAACAAUAUUAUGCUUUAGUAUGUACGUUGUGUGUCUAGCUUAUUGUCUUAAAAGAUAAAUCAAGAUUUAAUUGUUUCUUUUGUGUUUUGUCUCAAGGUGAUGUUGUUAGUGAAUACUGCAAGGUUGGAUGUGUAUCCUCUGUGUGCGGUGCUUUAUCCACUCUCCAGAACUCUGGUAAAACAACUCUCGAAACUCUUUUAUCAUUACUAUCAUUUGUUUUAAAAAUAAUAAACAAGAGAACAUAUAUAUGAUACAUUUCAAAUUUUGUUUCGAUAACUAGAUGCAAGUGAAAUCGUGAAUGAAGCUGCUGGAAACUGCGCCUUGGCGUGUUCUAAAGUCUGCACCAAGGGUUCGAUGAAUGCAGUUGGAACCGCCUAGACAACCUUAUUCACAAAGAUACGAAGUACAUCAUCUAUGGAGUGUUGUUUUUUCAUGUUUUCAUCAAUAAUUGUCAGUGUAUGUGACAAAAAUAUAGAAGGUUAUCGAUCCUUAGAUUGCAUAUGCCUUCUAUUACCUAUCUUUUCAAUAAUAUGUAAUUGUGUCGUGAUAUUUUUCGUUCAACCAAUAAAGUUGCUUUUUGCUUAGCUAUAUUACAUAGUAUCAACCAUUUUACCAAACUAUUUGAUUAAUAUCACAUAAAACUAAAUUUAAAAGACGUGACUGAAAAAACAUGUAAAAUUUCAAAAAUGAUGCUUUCGAUGUUGGUCAUAUAGCUUACGGUUUUGUGUGGAUCAGAUUUAUUGUUUUGUAUUAAAGGAGAUAAUAUAUUUGUGAGUUCGUUUCAAUUACUGAGCCUAAUUGUUUGUUUUGUCGAAGCGUUAGCUAUUGUUUUCCCUAAGCUUGAUUAGUUUUUGUAAGAUCAUAUAAAGCAAUGCGUACAUAAUUACUUUAGUUGUUUUUAUAAUGCUACAUAGACAACAAUUUAUGAGGCUAAAAACACAAAUUCAUUAUAAUCUACCUUCAAUUUUGAUGUUUUUUUUUUGGCACUAUAAAGUGUGUUAUCAGUCAUCUUCGAAUUUAGCUCGUUCUUGACUAUAUUUUCCUCGAUCAUUAUCUUCAGAAUAGUCACUUUGCUUAGAGAUUUUUGAUACUAUGUCAAUCUUUGAACUUUUUUUCUUGGUAAUGAUACUGUUCCAAUACAAUACAAACUAAAUGUGAGAAGGAAAAUAAAAUAAGCAUAAAAUUGUCAAGCAGUUAGUUUAAAGCUUAUGUAAUUAGCACUUUCAUCAUCUCAAUGAUCUUCAUGUUAUUGAUAAUCACAUGCAGAAAUUUGUUUAGAAUUGUUAGCACACCACUCAAAUUAUUAGGCAACAAGCAUUUAUUUGGUUCCAACGUAUAUUAUUUAAAUCUCCAAUACAAAACAAAAAGAGCUGCUGCGGUCUUCUUCUUUUUGGUCGGAAAGUGAGACCACAACAAGGGGAUCUUGGAUGUGGAAAAAGUUGCUCAAUUAUAGAACGCAUGCUAAAGCGUUUCACAAAAUGGUAGUUGGAGAUGGUGCUCACACUUCUUUCUGGUAUGAUCACUGGUCUUCUCUGGGCUGUUUCCAUGAUUUGCUUGGGGAUAGAGGAUUUAUUGCUCUCGGUAUUCCUUCCAACGCCACAGUUGCUAUGGUUUUACAAACUCAUACUCGGCGCUCUCACCGAACCGCCUUGUUGAAUCAGAUUGAGCUGGAAGUCGCAAUGCUCCGGGAUCGUGGCCAAGUUUAUUGUCAAGACAAUGCUUUAUGGCGAGCUUCGGAUAACAAGUAUGUGCCUUGGUUCUCCACUGCUGAGACCUGGCAGCAGAUUCGGCGUGUGGGUUUACAAGUGAGUUGGUACAGGGGCAUUUGGUUCUCCAACUCUAUACCGAAAUGUUCUUUCAUCCUUUGGUUAACAGCUCGCAAUAGGCUCACCACCGGGGAUCGCAUGCAGGCUUGGAACAGAGGUGUUAACCCUGCUUGUGUGCUCUGUCGGAAACCUUUGGAGACACUUCCGCAUCUAUUCUUUGGUUGCCCCUACUCUUCACGGAUAUAGCAUGCUCUAACUCACAAAUUGUUGAUGCGGCACUAUUCUAUUUCAUAUACACAAGUCAUCCAUCUGCUCUCGGGUUCUUGUUUUCAAGGUACUACCCGCUACCUCUUGCGUCUUGUCUUCCAAGCAACGGUCCACACACUUUGGAUGGAGCGCAACAGACGUCGACAUGGCGACACACCAAGCACCACUGAUCAGCUCACCCGUUUCUUAGACCGUUUGAUACGUAAUAAACUCCUUUCAAUGCAAGCAACCACAACAAAGUUUGGUGAUGGACUUCAGCUUUGGGUAGCGGGUAGCUAAUCCCCUCCAAAAAUUUCAAAACUUUUAAUGUUUUUUAAAUUAAGUUUUUGAUUUAAGGAUGCAUUUAUUGUAAAAAGGACACUUUUUUGUUUUGAAUAUAUUUUCACAUUCAUGCAAAAAAAAAAAAAACAAAAAGAAACACAAAACACGUUUGUAACAAACUAUUUGGAUUUUUGUGCCAUCAGCUAGACAGUAACUAGAAGAGAUUUGAUUAUUAACUUAUAACCACAAGAGUCAAUAGAGUUGGUUAAAAAAUAAAUUAAGAAACACAAACACACGUUGUAACAAACUACUCAUACAUUUUCUUAAUUCUUAAUUCAAAAUAUUUCCACGAGAAGUGCUACAAACUUAAUAGACAUAUAUAACACUUAUAAUAUAAAUUCAAACGAAAAUAAUAGUGAAUCCCUAUUAAGUAUCCUAAUUAAUUUAAAGCGUUAAUCAAAAGAAAGUAAAAAUGAACAAGAAGAUUUCAUCAAUCCAUCAAGAUAAGGUUUGGUCCACGUCGCAUGUACAGACAGAGUCUAUAGAGAAAAUGUGAUAAACGUAUCAUAUGAAUUCUGUGGUUGCUAAUCAUAGACCAACUAGUAUUUAAGCUUAUAACUCCCCACAUAUACAUUUUGCAUUCAAACAACUGAUCAAUCGAAAGAUGGAAGGCAAAACUGUGAUUUUAAGUGUGCUCAUAGUGAGUCUUGUCAUGGCACAGAUUCAAGUUGAAGGAAAGAGUUGUUGCCCUAACACGAGUGCUAGAAGCUGCUACAAUUUAUGCAUUAUUGCUGAAGCAGGUAGGCAAAUUUCUUGUUAAAUUUAAUUAGUGCCCCAUAUAACUUUUAAAUUUAACCAGUGCCCCAUAUAUAUUUUUAGUCCUAAAUCCACCCUCCAUCUGUACACAAAUCUGUGGAUGCAAAUUUGUAUCGGGAAAAUGUCCUCCAGGAUAUCCACAUGACAUUCUCGAAAACUCUGGUAAUUUAAUUGCAUCUUUUAUUUCUUUGUUAUUUCAUUAUGUUAUAUGUUUUACAAGUUGGACCAAGAUUUUGAUGCAACUUCUAAGAAUUGUUUUAUUAUUUUUUAUUUAAGGUGAUGCUGUCAAUGAAUACUGCAAAUUAGGUUGUGCAUCCUCUGUGUGUGGUGCCUUAACCACUCUCCAGAACUCCGGUAACACAAAAACUCAUUAUUAAUUAUCAAUAUUAUGAUUAGAUUUUUAGAAAAGGAGAAAAACGUAUUAACUAAAAAUAUUGUUUCGAUGAAUUAGAUGCAAGUGAAAUUGUGAAUGGAGCAGCUGUACAAUGCACCAAGGCAUGUUCUGAGUUCUGUACCAAGGGCUCAUCCAAUGCAAUUGAAACUGCUUAAGAAGCAUAUAUCCACGAUCUAUGUUUUCAAUAAUUGUCGUUGUAUAUGACAAAAAAAUGCUAGAAUCUUGAGUAAGCUUCUACUAUUUCCAAGUUUUCUAUGUGACAUAGAAAAAAGUCAUUGAUCCCUAGAUUGUGUACCCCUUCUACUUGCUAUUGUUUAAUAUAAAGAAUAAUAAUUAUGUCUUUAUCGACUAUAAUUAAAACAAACUCUCGCUUUAGCUUAAUUUUCUAACAAUCACUUCAUAUCUUAAAAACAUCAAAUGCCAACUUAGCAAAACUGUCAAGACUUACAAAUCUCGAAUUAAAGAUAUAUAUAAGCAUACGACACCUUGAAUGAACCAUUAAGAAUGCAAUCGAUAGGUUGAAGUAAUGAAAAACUUUAUAGUAUAUCAUUUUGUCAUCAUGAUUACUAGAGUAAUAACUAAUAACCCAAUAGAUUUUGACAACAAGGGAACUGUGAAAUUAUUGUUUUUGAACUUGAAAAUAAAAAUGUAAAGUAAACAGAUAAUUGAACUUAUAAAUUAAAACAUUGGGUAGCAGGGUAUUUCAACGAAUCAAUGACUAACAAAUAAAAACAAUAAAGGAAGGCAAAAAUUCAGGCAAGACGACAUGUUCUUAAACAUGAACAUAAAUUCAGAUUAAUUCUCUGUUAAGACAUUAGUCAUUAAAUUCAACUAUUUAAUUACUAAACUCUCAUUUAUAAUUUUCUAGUCAAAUUCUCUUCAUCAAACAAGUUUAUUUGGUUCACAAGACAUUCUAAAAUUAACUCUCGCAGGUUAGAAUUACAAUGCUCAAUUAACAUUCAUUCAAGCAUUUCAUCGAACAUCUCUAAACCAUAUAAAAGCCAACCAUGUUUAUCGUCGGAUAUGGUUGUCAGAAACGGCUAUGUUUUUCUAUAGAGCAACUGAGAUCAUGAACGUAUAAAACAUCAGUAAAAGUGAUAAGAUUUGAAAUUGUUAACUCCCAAGACGGAAUUUCCGUGAGAUUUACUAACAAUGAAAUAUUCUUUGACAUAUUAUGAUAUGAUAAAAGCUCUAACAUAGUUUCGAACACAUUGACAUGUAAGCUCUUGUCGUAAACGAAAGUCAAAAUAUAAACUUAUUUUUUUGGUAAUACAAAUAUAUUGUUCCAUACAAUACAAACUAAAAGUGACAUGGAAAAUAAAGUGGUUAGUUUAAAGCUUAUGUAAUUAGCACUUUGAUCAUCUCAAUGAUCUUGAUCAUGUGAUCAUGUGAUUGGUAAUCACAUGCAGAAAUUUGUUUCAAAUUUCUAGCACACCACUCAAAUUAUUAGGCAACAACCAUUUAUUUGGUCCCAACAUAUGUUAUUCAAAUCUCCAAUACAAAACAAAAGAGAACAAAAGGAAACACAAAACACGCUGGUAACAAACUAUUUGGAUUUUUGUAUCAUAUUUUAAUUUGCCAUCAGUCUAGACAAUAACUAGAAGAGUUUUGGCUAUAACUUAUAAACCACAAGAGUUAAGAAUUGGUUAAAAAAAUAAAUUAAGUACCACAAAACACGUUGUAACAAACUACUAUGUUCUUAUCUUUCCCUCUUCAAACUAAUCAUACUCUUCUUAAUUUUUAAUUCUUAAUUCAAUAUAUUUACACGAGAAGUGCUACGAACUUAAUAGACAUAUAUAACACUUAUAAUAUAAAUUCAAACGCAAAUAAUAGUGAAUCCCCUAUUAAUUAUCCUAAUUAAUUUAAAGCGUUAAUCAAAAGAAAGUAAAAAUGAACAAGAAGAUUUCAUCAAUCCAUCAAGAUAAGGUUUGGUCCACGUCGCAUGUACAGACAGAGUCUAUAGAGAAAAUGUGAUAAACAUAUCAUAUGAAGUGUGUGGUUGCUAAUCACAGACCAACUUGUAUUUAACCGAGCCUUGUUUCAUCAGUACCAUUUCAUCAAUACAACCUUAUAUAACUCCCCACAUAUACAUUUUGCAUUUAAACAACUGAUCAACAGAAAGAUGGAAGGCAAAACUAUGAUUUUAGGUUUGCUCAUAGUGAGUCUUGUCAUGGCACAGAUACAAGUCGAAGCAAAGAGUUGUUGUCCGAACACGACUGCUAGAAAUUGUUACAAUGUAUGCCGUUUACCUGGAACUCCUAGGCCAACUUGUGCAAGCCUCUGCGGAUGCAAAAUUGUCGAGGGGCCAACAUGUCCUCCAGGACCACGUGACAUUCUCGAAAACUCUGGUAGUUUAGUUUAAUUUUUAUUUCUUUGUUCUUUCAUUAUGUUAUAUCUUUUACAGGUUGGACCAAGAUUUUGAUGCAUGUGUUCAAAAACUGUUUUAUGUUUUUGUAUUUAAGGUGAUGCUUUUAACGAAUACUGCAAGUUGGGUUGUGCAUCAUCUGUGUGUGGUGCCUUAACCACUCUCCAGAAUUCCGGUAAUGCAAAAACUUAUUAAUAUUACUAUUAAAUUUAUAGAAAAAGAGAAAAACAUAUUAAUUCUAAUAUUGUGUGUGGGUGAUUUAGAUGCAAAUGAAGUUGUGAAUGGAGCAGCUGUACAAUGCACCAAGGCAUGUUCUGAGUUAUGUACCAAGGGCUCAUCCAAUGCAGUUGAAACUGUAUAAGAAGCACAUCCAUGAUCUAUGUGUUGUUGUUUUCCCAGUUUUCAAUAAUUUUCGUGUAAGUGACCAAAAAAUGCUAGACACUUGAGCUAGCCUUCUAAAUAAAGAAUAAUAAUGUGACCUUACAUAUAAUAAAAACAAACUCUCACUUUAACUUUAUUUUCUUACAAUCACUUCAUAUCUUGACAAGAUAAAAUGACAACUUAGCAAAACUGUCAAGACAUACAAAUCUCAAAUUAUAUACCUACUAGAAAGUUGCCCACGCGAUGCGUGGGUUAUACAUGAAAUGUUAAUUAAAAAUUAUAUUAAGUUAUAUGUAGUGUAUAAGUGUUAAUAUAUGUUUUGAAAAUAAUUUUAAAACAAAAUAAUAUGUUUAUAUUCAUUAUGUGUAUUACAAAAUAAUAUUAAUUUUUAUGUUUAAAACAAAAUAAUUAACGCACAAACAAAAUUGAACGCGAUUGCAAAAUUAGUAUAAAACAUAUUUUGUGUACAUUGUAAACAUUAAAAAUAAACGAAAAGUAUAUUUGGAAAAUAUAGAACUGAAUGAGAUCUAAACAAAGUAAUACAAAAUUAGCACAUACAAAAUUAUGAGCAUUUGUUACUCACCUUAUAUUUUAUCAUAACCUAAAAGUAACUUAAAUUUUAAAAAUGAUCAAGUUAAACUUUUCAAAAUAUCAAAUUAAAAGAUUUCAUUUGAAACAUAUGAUAUAUUGUUUUCAACUUUAUUUAGAAAAUAUUUUUCAAUUUAGAUUAUAAAAGCAUUUAAACUAUAGUUAUGUAAAAACUAAAAAGAGAGAUCAUAAGCCAAAUAAACAGAAGAAGAUUACAUGAGAAGAAGAACUUUGAUAUUUUUAUAUUCUAUUUGAUUGUAAAUGAAGCUGACAUAGGAGGUAGAUGAGAAUAUAUAUAUAUAUAUAUAUAUAUAUAUAUAUAUAGACUUUUUAAUGUAGCAUUAGUUUAGUUUUAAAAUUACUACUAAAUUUUUUUAAAACAAAUAUGCAUGAAGAUUUACAUUACUAUAAAAGCUAAAUAAAUGAAUCCAAACUAAAAUAGCAUAACAUGUUUACAUCAAAAUUAACAGAGAAGAUGAACAACGACAUAUAUGUACAUGAUGGCGAAUUUUUAGGUUUUUGCCCUUUUCAUUUGAUAAAAAUAAAAUUUUAACUCUGCUUACUAUUAUUAUUUUAUUUAUAAAUAUAAAUUACGAAAUAGAAAGAANNNNNNNNNNNNNNNNNNNNNNNNNNNNNNNNNNNNNNNNNNNNNNNNNNNNNNNNNNNNNNNNNNNNNNNNNNNNNNNNNNNNNNNNNNNNNNNNNNNNGUUACUAAGAGUGUAGAGUGGGGUAUGAUAUUAUUGUGUAAUUAAUACGUUAAUAAUUAUCAUAAUUGUCAUAAUUAAUAUGUUAUUACUUAUCAUAAUUUAAUUAAUGAAUUAAAUUAAAUAUAACUUUCAUAAAAUGUAUGAUCUUUAAAAGAAAAAAUUUAGGUACCAAUUUUUUUGUAAGCAAGUAUAUAUAUUUUUAACACUUUGACUGCAAAUUUUAAAUAAACUAAAUAUUAUAAUUUUUAUAUAAUAGUCUAUUUGAUCUCAAAAACUAAAUAUAAUGACAGAUAUAUUAAAAUGAAUUACAAAAAAUAUUUGAGAUUAAAAAAUAAGAAAACAUUAUUUGAUAAAUGUUUUAAAUCGAAUUUUUUAUUUAUAUAGCAAUCAAAACUGAUAUAUUACAUAUGUGUUGUAUCAAAUUUUCUUGAUUCAUAAAUAUGAAAAUAAAAGUAUAAUAUAAGUAUUUUCGUGAUUGUGCAAGCUAAUUCUAAUUUAUUGUGUGUUGAAUAAAAUUGAGUAGAAAAAUAUAGCUAAUGCAAAUUUAUAUUAUUUCAGUUUUUAUAUUAAAGUGUGAGUUAAGAAUUAUUUGAAUAAGAAAGAGGUAGUAAUAUAUUAUUUUGGAAAUUGUGUUACAAUAAAAUAUUUAAUUAGAUAUUUCAUAAUCAAAAAAGAAAAUGCAUAUAUAAAAAUGGAUCCUUAUAACUUAAUUCUCUUGUUGUACGAUGAUUGGAACUAAUAUAAGAUACUAUGUUAGAUUUGUAUCAUACUUUCUAAAGAUAUUUAUAUCAAAUUCUUAAAAUGAUUAUUUCAUUGAUUUUUUAUGUCACAUAAGAACAUAAAAAUAGAAAAAAAAAAUAAAGAUACAUGAAUAUAAUGGAAGAGAGGGAGUGAAUGUAUUUAUAUGUUGAUAAUCAAAAAUAGAAAAUAGAGAUGAAUUUUCAAGAAAAAAAAAAGAUAAAUUAUAAUAAUGUAAGAUGUAUAUCAAUAUAUCAUAUAGUCUCUAAAAUUUUCUACAGUUGAAAUUUUAUAAUAAUAUUUUUUUAAAAAAACUCAUACAACAAAAAUAAACAAAGCAAAAAAAUUUCAUAAAGAAGCGAAGGAGAGAAUGAGAGAAUGAUAUAAUGAGACAAUGAGAGAAUGAUAUAAUGAGAAAAUGAGUAUAUAUAGGAAGAUAAGUGAUGGGAGUUACAAUUUCAUAAAAAAAUUAUGGGAGUCAAUUAUAAUUGAUUGUGUAUUGAAAAAAUUGAAUGUAAAAUAUAGUUAAUGCAAAUUUAUGUUAUUUCAGUUUUUAUAUUAAAGUGUGAGUUUAAUAUAUAUGAUUAAAUGUGUUUUGUGGUUUCUUUGUUUUUUUCAGUUUUAUAUUAAAGUGUGAAUCAAAUAUAUAAUAUUUUUAAAAGUUACAUGCCAAGUGGACCAAUAAGAAGAUGGUAAAAUCUUAUAUAUAUAUAUAUAUGAUUUGUGAAUAAUAUGAUAGUUAUUCUUUGAUUUAAAUUCAUUAUAUUAUUUUCUCAACUGUUUGAUAAUAGAAAAUUAAAUAAAUUUUGCUUGAUAAUCUCUUUAAUUCUUCUCUUAUAAAUUAAAUUUUAAAAAUUAGAAAUUAUGUUAUAAAUAAUUUAUUACCCAUAUUAAUAACUUUAAAAAUGUAUCUUUAAAGGAGUAGGAAAAAAAAGUUUAAAAAUGUAUCUUUAAAGGAGUAGGAAAAAAAAGUCAUAGCAAUUUUCUUUGAAUAAAAAAUUAUAACAAUUCCAUUUUAUGUUUAGCUUAUAUGAUAUUUAAUUUAAUUAGAAACUAAAAUUAGGAAAAACAUAUUUUUGCAACCAUGACACUUUUUAAAAAGCAAAGCAUACAUAUAACAUAUAACUUACAACACAAUAUCAUAAAAAAAAAUUUUAAAUGUUAGAUUAUAAAUUAAUAAAAAUGACACAUGUCAGAAGCAUAGAGCGACACAUGUCGCGUUGUGAGGCAAAGUUAAGAAGAAACCUUGUCUUAUUAUAUAAGAUUAUAAGCAUAUGACACCUUGUAUGAACCAUUCAGAAUGCAAUCGAUAGGUUGAAGUAAUGCAAUACUUUAUAGUCUAUCAUUUUGUCAUGGAUGAUUGCUAGCGUAAUAACUCAAUAGAUUUUAACCACAAGGAAACGGUGAAAUUCUUGGUAGUAUAAUUAUGGGCCAAAUCCACAAAGGACCGAAUGAUUACACCAAAUACUUAUAAGAGUUAGCAACUUAGCAAAGAUAAAAGUGAAUACAACUAGAUUUUCACCCACGAUAUACCGCGGGACGAUAUUUUAAAACGUUUUUUUAUUAAGUUUGUACUACAGGCUCGCAAAAAAAAAUUGUACUACUAUAUUUGAUUGUUAAUUCUAAGAUUUAACGCGUGGAAUAUUGCAUGAUAAUUUGGUUUUUAUAUAAUGGUAAUUUGAUUAAAUUAAAUAAGUAAGUCUAAUAUUCAAAAUAAUAAAAUGAUGUUGGCAUAACAUCUUUCGUUUAAAUAGUCAAAUUUCAGAUUAAAAUAUUUUAUGAGUUUUACUAUAGUAGAAAACCGUAAAAAAUCUAUAAUCAUAGUUAUGUAAACUAUAACCCGCUCCAUAACAUGUCCCGUGCUAGAAAAUUAUCAAUAAUACUUUAGUACAUACAUUUUUGUAUCGUUUGAGUAAUAUACGUCCUUUUUCAAAAAUUUAAACUGCAACAUAUGCAAAAUAAAAAACAGAUCAAAAUUACAAUAGUUGAAGCUAGUUACAGCAGAGAAUACAUGAGAGACAAAUUUCAAAAACCUAAUGUGGCUUUUCAAAAUUGUUGAAAUACAUUUUUGCAAAACUCAUUGACACACUGAACAAUCCGAAAUUAGCUUGUCAUACGAUGAAACAGUUUCAUUGUUGUAUUUUCUUACAAAAUGAAACAGUUUCGUUGUUGUAUUUUCGUAAAACAAUGAAACUGUUUCAUUUUGCUAUUACAAAACCCACUCAACAAUCCGAAAUUGGCGUAUUAUUACGAUGGGAAGCUCUAGUAUCCGAGAAUAUAAUUCUCUUGAAUAAAGUAAACUAAAAAGAUAAGUUUAGUUUUCUUGCAUAAUAUAGUCAUCGAACACGUUUACAUGUAAAAAUUGUCAAGUGGUUUUGACUUUAUAGCUUUUUUUGUAAACUCAUCAGAUCUCAACCAUCUCAUGUUAUUGGUAACUCUUUUAAUUCAAAUGAUUUAGCAUACCACUCAAAUUAGUAUUUAUUUGGUCCCGACGUAUGAUUCAAAUAUCCAAUAGUACAAAACAAAAAGUUGAUUAUAAGCCAAAAAGAAACACCAAACACGUUGUAACAAACUAUUUGGAUUUAUCUCAUAUUUUUAAUCAGCCAUCAAUCAUCUAGUCGACAUAACUAGAAGAGAUUUGAUAGAAGCUCGUACAACCACAAAACCGUUGGUUAUUCAAAAUAUUUUGUACUCUUUCUUUAUUCAUAACUCAAAAUAUUUACACGAGAACUGAUACGAAGUUUAUAGACAUAAUACUUAUACUAUAAACUCUCAUAUAUACGUAUAUAGUUAUAAACCAAAUUAAUAUAAUUAAGAUGGUACAUAAUAAUAACACGAUUAGUAAGAACAUACAGAAUAUAACCAGCAAAACUCGUAAAUAAUUAAUAGUGAAUCCCUAUUAAGCAACACAGGUUAAGCUUUAACCGAAUCAGAAGAAUGAAAAAAAAAAAAAGAAUAAAAAGAAGAUUUCAACUAUCCCAUUAAGAUAAGGUUGGUCCAUGCAGCUUGUAUAGUCAGUCUAUCGAGCGAACAUGUGAUACCCAUCAUAGACAACCUAGUAUUUAAGGAACCCUUGUUUCAUCACAAAUUCAUCAAUUCAAGCUUAUAUACAUUUUGCAAUCAAACAACUGAUCAAUCGAAAGAUGGAAGGCAAAACUUUGAUUCUAAGUGUUCUCCUAAUGAGCCUUCUCAUGGCACAAAUCCAAGUUGACGCCAAGAGCUGUUGUCCGACCACCACUGCUAGAAAUGUCUAUAAUACUUGCCGUUUAGCCGGAUUAUCCAGAGCAGUAUGUGCAAACCGCAGUGGCUGCAGACUCGUUAAUGGGUCAUGUCCCAACGGAUAUCCUAAAGAGAAUCUUGAAAACACAGGUAAAUCAAAACAUAAUGUGUUUUAUUACGUACGUUGUUUGUCUUACAGGAAAAAUCAAGAUUAAUGGUUUCUUAUAUGUUUUGUCUCAAGGUGAUGCUGUCACUGAAUACUGCAAGGUUGGGUGUGUAUCUUCUGUGUGCGGUGCUUUAGCCACUCUCCAAAACUCUGGUAAAGCUAACUCUCAAAACUCCUUAUCAUUACUAUCAAUUUUCUUAAAAAAUAAUAAACAAGAGAACAUAUAUAUGAUACAUUUCAAAUUUUAUUUCGAUAAAUAGAUGCAAGUGAAAUUGUGAAUGAAGCUGCUGGUAACUGUGCCUUGGCAUGUUCUAAAGUCUGCAACAAAGGUUCGAUGAAUGCAGUUGGAACCGCCUAGACAACCUUAUUCACAAAGAUACGAAGUACAUCAUCUAUGGAGUGUUGUUUUUCAUGUUUUUCAUCAAUAAUUGUGACAAAAGUGUAGAAGAUUAUCGAUCAUAUGCUUUCUAUUCCCUAUCUUUUCAAUAAUAUGUAAUUGUGUCAU